rnacentral:rRNA from 1 species
AUUGAACGCUGGCGGCAGGCCUAACACAUGCAAGUCGAACGAGUGGCGGACGGGUGAGUAAUGUCUGGGCAACUGCCUGAUGGAGGGGGCUAACUACUGGAAACGGUAGCUAAUACCGCAUACCAUCGGAUGUUCCCAGAUGGGAUUAGCUAGUAGGUGGGGUAACGGCUCACCUAGGCGACGAUCCCUAGCUGGUCUGAGAGGAUGACCAGCAACACUGGAACAGCGACACGGGCCAGACUCCUACGGGAGGCAGCAGUGGGGAAUAUUGCACAAGGGGCGCAAGCCUGAUGCAGCCAUGCCGCGUGUAUGAAGAAGGCCUUCGGGUUGUAAAGUACUUUCAGCGGGGAGGCGUUACCCGCAGAAGAAGCACCGGCUAACUCCGUGCCAGCAGCAGCGGUAAUUC